rnacentral:rRNA from 1 species
UAGAACCUGAAACGGUAUACGUACAUUCAGUGGGAGCCACUUCGUGUGGUGACUGCGUACCUUUUGUAUAAUGGGUCAGCGACUUAUAUUCAGUGGCGAGGUUAACCGUAUAGGGGAGCCGUAGGGAAACCGAGUCUUAAUAGGGCGCAUUAGUAUCAUGUCGUAGACCCGAAACCAUGUGACCUACCCAUGAGCAGGUUGAAGGUGAGGUAAAACUCACUGGAGGACCGAACCA